rnacentral:misc_RNA from 1 species
UUUCCGUAGGUGAACCUGCGGAAGGAUCAUUAAAGAGAUCAUGCCCUCACGGGUAGACCUCCCACCCUUUGUUUACAAUACCUUUGUUGCUUUGGCGGGCCCGUUUGGCCCCGCGCUGAACAACCGGCCCUGGCUGGUCAGUGCCCUCCAGAGAACCGAAAACUCUGAAUUAAAUGUCGUCUGAGUACUAUGUAAUAGUUAAAACUUUCAACAACGGAUCUCUUGGUUCUG